AUGAACUACAUUGGGAGGGGAUUUUUUUUUUUAAUUUUUUGACUUUUGGGGGUUUUUUUGGUACCGGGGAUUGAACUCGGGCUUGUGCAGCAGGCAGCGAAUCCACGGAACUAAAUCCUCGGCCCUUUUUUAAAAUUGUUUCUCCACUGGGAUGGAGAAAUGAACUAGAGGUUCAGAACACAGUACACAUCAGGUAACUUCUUUUUUUUUUUUCUUUUUUUUUUUUGGCACCAGGGAUCAAACUCGGGACCUUGCGUUUGUGAGGCAGGCGUUGGAAGCACUGAACAAAAUCCCUGGCUACAUCAGAUACCUCCUAUAUAUAUGCCAGAUGAAAGAAUGAACAGAAGAAAGAUAAAGGUAUAAGAGAGGAAAAGAAAAGAAGAAGAGAGAAAAAGAAAAAAACAACAACAAAAACCCACACAGAUGGAAGAUCACAGACCUCACAGUCCCAUUCAUGUUGCCGUCUGUGUUUAACUACAGGUCUCUGAACUGGGCACACAACCCCAUGAUUUGCUCAGUUGUCUGCCCCUGAGCAAGGAGGCUUAUCUAUCUAGAUGGCCCUCUGGGUCUGCCUUCCAGCUACAAGCCAUGAUCUGGGCAUGGCUAACUACAGACCUUUGCCUCUGACCCAAGAUCCAGCCACCUCAGUUAAUUUGAGGAAAAGAAGAUGCAGUGUGAUUGACCCAGCAGUCAGCUCUCUGGAAACAAAAUGCAGUAACAUUGAUGACACAAAGACAAACAAGACACUGACACACAGUAAAAACAAACUAAUAGCAACAACUAUGACACCAGUGGAAAUAGCAAAGAAAUCAGCAACAAUAAUAGAGUCAAAGAAAAGCUGAAUGUUGACAUACCAUAAAAGCUACCACCUGGGCCAGAGAUUUAGCUCAGUGGCGCUGCGCCUGCCUUGCAAGUGCAAGGUCCUGAAUUCCAUCCCUGGUUCUGCAAAAAAAAAAGUUAGCACCCUUAACAAUAUCGGAGAUCUGUAAUAAUAAUAUAGACACAAAGAAAAAACCAAAUAUUGUCAUACAGUAAAUAUCUUCUAAGAGCAACAACUAUACCAUGAUUAACAAUAGGAAAAAUUUCAACAAUAAUACUGUAGAGCUGAUUAAUAUCUAAACAUUAAUAAAGCUUAAGAGUAACAUAGGGCCGGGGAUUUAGCUCAGUGGUUCCACCACCUGCCCUGAAAGCACAAGGACACGAGUUUGAUCCCUGGUACCAAAAAAAAGAAAAAAUAAAAGCAAGAGUAACACUGAUAGAAAUAAAGGAGUGGGAAAGGGAAAAUAAAAAGUAAAACUUGGGAAACAAAGAAAAGGAAGAUGAGAUAGAGGAGAAGAAAAAAGUGAAAUUAAAAAGGAAUUUAAAAGUUUUAUAAAAUGAGAUGAAAAGUAACAGAAAAUAGCAAACAAGAAAAUAUGAAAAAAUAAUAAAACAAAGAGCAAAAGAAAGGGAAUAAAAAGUAAAGAAAAGAAAAAACCCAGCCACUCCAAAAGAGUGUCUGUCUCUUGUGACCCUCUCCCAACAAGUGCCCAGAAUGACCCCAGAAACCUUGAAAUAUAGUUGCCCUGUGGCUUCUGAUUCCUGGAGGGGCUGGAUCUUAGUUAACCCUUUCCCCAAAUGGCUCCUGUUUAGUCAUUCAACUAUGGCAAGCAAUGCACUGGGAUUUCUUCUCUAAUUCUAGCCGGCCAUGAGGAAAGAGUCACUUUCAGACAAAAACCCCAUGCUGUAUUUGCUGUUUUCAAUAACUGUGGGCUUUUCUUGGGACUGGCAAGGCUGGCCCAGCCUGUUGUUUUUCCCUGAGGCUGCUGGCCCUUUCUGAACUUAUCUUGGGUUUGCAGAGACAGGAGCCUUCCCUAGGAGCCAGAAUUAGCAUUCUUGCCUGCUUUCUUCUUUCCUUUGUAUUGUCUUUAGUUUCUCCAGUUUCACUGUGAUUUUUAGUUAUCCAAUCAGCUCUUUCUCGCUCCCUGAAGAUUUUCUUCUUUUUCUCUUUACUGGGUUGCUGUUUUCUAGGUGUCUAGAGUCCAGGUCCCGGAGAGUCUGUGACAUGCUGCUGGAUUUUAUGCCCCCAUCUUCCCUUUUCCAUGAAUCUUGACGUUGAAAUGUGGGAGUGGUGCAGUUGUGAUGGUAUUUGAUGAAGCACUGGGUGUUGCAAUGAAUGAGUAUUGUUUUCAGGAAGACCAUGUCCUUGCCCAAGGCAUUCACAUUCUUUUCUUUAGCAGGACACUUGAAAAAAGGUUUGGAAUUGUUGUUUGAGGUAACUGGACAGAAAAACCAUGUAAACAUGACUUCCCAGCAUUUGCUUCACUCCAGUGUGAUGUCCAAGCUUUGAAAAAGUUAAGCCUUCAAUUUGUCAUUAUUAACAGCUAUUUGGUAUCCCAUCUUGUUACUUUCAUUUAGUCAUUUAAAUUGUAUCCAGUUUUUUUUUUUCUAGUAAUACAUGUAAUGUAAAUAAUCCUACUCUAAACAACAAAAAACUGUUUCAGCUGUUCACAUAAUAUGGUCUCAAAGUCUUAUAUAAAAAAAACUAUAGCUCAUCAGUUGUGAUAGUGCAUUUUGUUAGUUACUUUUCUCCCGUUGCUGAGACGAAAUACCAGACACCCAAAGUUAAAGGGGAAAGGGUUUAUUUAGAUCACAGUUCGUGGAGAUUUCAGUACAUAGUUGGCUGGCUCCAAACAGGGAUAGCAAACAGGCAUCACAGAGGAGAAACAACAUGGCAUGCACAUGGUAGCAAGGGCAACAAGGGACCUUAACAGCAUCUUUCUGGUCCUUUUAUCUUAUUCAGACGACUGGGAUUAGGGCAGUGCCAAACCAAUCACUCACAUGUAGUGGUUUAGUAAUCACACCCCCUUAAUCCUAGCAUCACACGUUCCAGAUUUAGCUACCUUCGAAAAAGACUGCAUGUGUAAAUAAGGACUAAAAGGUAUACUAGAUAAUGUGAAAUAGGAAGAAAAGGAGCAAAGGGGAAGUGGGAGGGGUAGGGGAAAGGAAAGAAGGGAAUGGAAUUAAUAUGAGAAAAAUGAAAAAAAGGAAACAAAGUCUUUGUAAAUAGGGAGGGGUG
rnacentral:lncRNA from 1 species